rnacentral:rRNA from 1 species
UACGGAGGGUGCAAGCGUUAUCCGGAUUCACUGGGUUUAAAGGGUGCGUAGGUGGGUCUGUAAGUCAGUGGUGAAAUCUCCGUGCUUAACAUGGAAACUGCCAUUGAUACUAUAGGUCUUGAAUUUUCUGGAGGUCAGCGGAAUAUGUCAUGUAGCGGUGAAAUGCUUAGAUAUGACAUAGAACACCAAUUGCGAAGGCAGCUUACUACGGGAGUAUUGACACUGAGGCACGAAAGCGUGGGGAUCAAACAGG